AUACGGAGGGUCCGAGCGUUAAUCGGAAUUACUGGGCGUAAAGCGUACGUAGGUGGCUUGAUAAGUCGGAUGUGAAAGCCCUGGGCUCAACCUGGGAACUGCAUUCGAUACUGUCUGGCUAGAGGAUAGUAGAGGCAAGUGGAAUUCCGGGUGUAGCGGUGAAAUGCGUAGAUAUCCGGAGGAACACCAGUGGCGAAGGCGGCUUGCUGGACUAAUACUGACACUGAGGUACGAAAGCGUGGGAGCAAACAGGAUUAGAAACCCCGGUAGUCC
rnacentral:rRNA from 1 species